AUUGAACGCUGGCGGCAUGCCUUACACAUGCAAGUCGAACGGCAGCACGGGUGCUUGCACCUGGUGGCGAGUGGCGAACGGGUGAGUAAUACAUCGGAACAUGUCCUGUAGUGGGGGAUAGCCCGGCGAAAGCCGGAUUAAUACCGCAUACGAUCUACGGAUGAAAGCGGGGGCCCUUCGGGCCUCGCGCUUUAGGGUUGGCCGAUGGCUGAUUAGCUAGUUGGUGGGGUAAAGGCCUACCAAGGCGACGAUCAGUAGCUGGUCUGAGAGGACGACCAGCCACACUGGGACUGAGACACGGCCCAGACUCCUACGGGAGGCAGCAGUGGGGAAUUUUGGACAAUGGGCGAAAGCCUGAUCCAGCAAUGCCGCGUGUGUGAAGAAGGCCUUCGGGUUGUAAAGCACUUUUGUCCGGAAAGAAAUCCUUGGCCCUAAUACGGUCGGGGGAUGACGGUACCGGAAGAAUAAGCACCGGCUAACUACGUG
rnacentral:rRNA from 1 species